rnacentral:rRNA from 1 species
GACGAACGCUGGCGGCGUGCCUAAUACAUGCAAGUUGAGCGCUGAAGGUUGGUACUUGUACCGACUGGAUGAGCAGCGAACGGGUGAGUAACGCGUGGGGAAUCUGCCUUUGAGCGGGGGACAACAUUUGGAAACGAAUGCUAAUACCGCAUAAAAACUUAAAACACAAGUUUUAAGUUUGAAAGAUGCAAUUGCAUCACUCAAAGAUGAUCCCGCGUUGUAUUAGCUAGUUGGUGAGGUAAAGGCUCACCAAGGCGAUGAUACAUAGCCGACCUGAGAGGGUGAUCGGCCACAUUGGGACUGAGACACGGCCCAAACUCCUACGGGAGGCAGCAGUAGGGAAUCUUCGGCAAUGGACGAAAGUCUGACCGAGCAACGCCGCGUGAGUGAAGAAGGUUUUCGGAUCGUAAAACUCUGUUGGUAGAGAAGAACGUUGGUGAGAGUGGAAAGCUCAUCAAGUGACGGUAACUACCCAGAAAGGGACGGCUAACUACGUG